AAUUAUUUGAAGCUUCAUGGGAGCAAAAGUUUGGCUGAGGAGAAACAAGUUCUGAGGGAUAUAAAGAUUCAACAGAAAAAUGUUGCUUCAUUCAAAUCACUAGAAGUGCUUAAGGAAACAUUAUCAUGUAACGGAGGAAAUACAUUCUUUUAUCAAAAACAUAAAAACUUGGAGGAGAAGAUGAGACAGAGAUAUCACUUAAAUGAUCGGCAGAAGCUCGUGAUAGAAAUUGAACAAUUCCAAAACCAACAUAUGGAAAGAGCUUCCAAGUAUGACUCCUUGAAGAAAAGUAUAAAAGACCAAAUCAAGCUUCUAUGUGAUGAAGACUAUUUAGGAAACAGAAGAAAGUGUAUGGAAUGUGGGAUCAGAAUUAGAAAUGGUGUGAAAAAAUUAGAAGCCAUAAAUGCAGAAUUGAAUUCUUUGAGAGCAAAAUUGUCAGAGAAUUAUAAGAAAAAGUAUCGAGCAUAUCAAAGGAUUUUGAAUUUGAAACAAUUGUAUCUUGAGGAGGUAAGAUUUAAAGACCACAUUUAAUAUAUUUGCAUGUAGAAGCUCACGAUCCUAUUCGUUUUCGCAGUUGAAACUUGAGACGGCGAUCUAAUUGGUGUCAGUUUUACAAUUACAAGAGAAAACAAAUGAGUUAAGUUUUGAAAGACACAUUUGUUUGCUAUUACUUUUGACAAACUGAUAUCGAUCAAGUCAUUGUCUCAGAUGAACGAGGAUCACGAACUUCUACUUCAAAAGACUGAUAUUAGUAAUAAUUAGAAUUUCAGACGAUUUUUAAUUACUGAUCGACAGUAGACCAUCAAACACGUAGAACUUGCCAUAUUUUAUAUGUUAAUUUUAAAAUUUUAGACUAUCGACUAUUAUCAACAUUGUUCGUAUAUAAAUAAAGUCCAUCAGCUGGCUGAAGAAAAAGAUGUAGCAGCCCUUGGUGAGAUGUCAAUUUCAGAGGUUGGGAAGUUUAUGUUAGAGUGGAACAAUAAUAAGGCUUUUCGAGAAGAUUAUGCGAAGAAUGUUCUGCAAUCAUUAGGGAGACGACAACUAAGUGGAGAUGGGCGUAUAAGACCUGAUAAAUAAUCAUGCUGGAUUAUGAUGCUUUUGUAAUGUUGGGAGCAAAAUUUGGAAGUGUUAAGAGUAAAUGUUAUUCUGUUGAAGUUUCAGAACAGCCUAAUAUUGAGUAUCUCUUCCAUUCUCUUUAUUUAGUUUUGACAACUUAAAGUAGUAAGAGUUUUACAUUGUAACUUAUGUAACUUAAAGAAAACACUUUUGUAACGACCGACAUCUGAAUGAUAUACAAAGGGAUUAUAUAGCA